CUUGGACGUCUAGAUCAGGGCUUAGGUUCAGAAUUGUGUAGGCAGGGUCCUGGGAGGGCAGCAUUAGGGUAGAGGAGGUGGGGUCAGGAACAAAGGAUCUUCCUGAUGGAGAUGUCCCUAGGGAGCCCAUGGGGUCAAGAACAGAACUUUGAAGUGUCAGGGACUAAGGGAUGUUUCCAUAUAACACAUGGGUCUGGAAAUGUUUCUGUCCAGACCAGUGUUUCACAGCCUUGGCACUGUGACAUUUGGGGCCAGAUAGUUUUUUGUUGGGAGGUGGGAGGGGCUGCUAUUCUAUGUAUUAUAGGAUGUUGUGCAGCAACCCUGGGCUCUAUUUACCAGGCCAGUAGCACACCGCGCCUCCCUCUGGGUUGUGACAAGCGAAAAAAAAAUGUCUCCAGACACUGUCAGAUGUCCCCUGCAGGGGCAAAAUCACUCUGAUUGAGAGGACCGUGAUGCAAGCGCAUGGACAGACCGAAGGCAUGAUGACAGGGAGAAGAGUAAGGGAGCUGGGGAAGGCGGGGCACGGAGAGAUGAUAAAAGGAUAGUGUUCUGAGAUGAGAAGAAACGGCCUGCAGCCCGGGUAAGCUCCGAGAUGCAUUCAUUCAUUCAGCCAGUGAGUGCCUACCAUGGAUUGGGCACUGUGCUAGUCUCUCAACAAAACAGGCAAGGUUUUUACUCAGCUGGAACUUGCAUUUAGUAGGAGAGACAAAAAUAAAGUCUAUAAUAGGUGCUGAUAGGUACUUUGAAAAGUAAAGCAGGGUAAAGGGAUUACAGGGUGUUUGGCAGGUGUUCUUUUUGGAGUCAACAUCCAGGUCUCCCAUGGGCAUUUUGGUCAACUCCAGAGCCAGGAAGGACCACCAGCAGUGACCCUUUGGUAUCACUUGAUUGGGGAAUCUAAGAGUUUGACUUUGAUCUUAACCAAAGACUUUUCUCUUCACUGAGGUCUGGACUUCAACAGAAAGAGGUCAGAUCUCUAGCCCUGUCCUUGAGACUCUGAGACUCGAACGUUAUUCUAAACGAUGCCUUCAAUGUUACUCUCACCUUGGAAUGCUUUAUUUAAAAAAAGAAAAAAAAGGGCGGGUCAGACUCAAUCCCCAGAGAUUCUGAUUUAAUUGGUCUGGCAUAGUGAACUGCCAUCAGCUGUGACUAUUUAUUAGAAAGCUCCCAAGAGACUAAUGUACGCACAGGGUUAAGAGCUACAGCUCUGAGUGCCUGCAGCUCAGGCUCCUUUGGGGCCUCUGGGAAUGAGAUAAAUUGAUUUGGAGGAGUCAGGGGGAGGAUGCAAGUGACCUCUGCUUGGCUAUCUUAUCAAAAACAGUCCUCACAGCUGCACUUCCCUGCAGUAGGGGUAUUCCUAGCCCCAUCCUGCAAGUGAGGUAACCUAAUGUGUUCCCGGGCAAAGUGGGGAAAUGGCAGGCUAGACAUGCAUAUGCAUAGCCUGUGUUCUUCCUGUGACAGCUGUGCUGACGUCUUUGGAGAAAUUGCCUACGUAUGUCCCUGGCCUCUGGGGCUGGCAGGUUCAGGCCAGGAGUGAUUUUUGAAUAUUUGACAGCUGGUACAGCAAAAGCUGACUGGCCCAAAGGAGGCAAUGAGGCUGUGGCAGUGCAUUUAAUGGCUGGUUUUCAGUAUAUCAGGACCCUCCCCCAAUUCAAUACCCAGCACAGCCCCCAAGGCUCAAAGGGGUGCCAGGGCAGGAGGGGAAGGCCCCUCAGUUAUUUGCCUCAGAAGGGAGGCACAACCACGGUUCAGUAACUCUUUGAAGCAUGUUCCCAUCCAGGUUCCAGCCGUCCUCACCUCAGGAGGACAUAGCUUUGUGCCUUUCAAAGCCCUUUCUCAUCUAUCAUCAGGGACUCGGAAGACGAGCCAGGUUUACAGCCCUGCCUUGAUGUGUGCCGAGUUCCUUGAAGAAAAUUAUUUUAUGGACAAUGUAUGAGUCUGUUUUCGUGCUGCUGAUAAAGACAUACCCAGACUCACAGUUCUACGUGGCUGGGGAGGCCUCACAAUCGUGAUGGAAGGUGAAAGACACGUCUUACAUGGCCACAGGGAGAAUGAGAGUCCCUGUACAGAACCAUCAGAUCACAUGAGACUUACUCACUGCCAUGAGAACAGCAUGGGGGAAACCGCCCCCAUGAUUCAGUUAUCUCCCACCGGGUCCCUCCCACAACACGUGGAAAUUAUGGGAGCUAUAAUUCAAGAUGAGAUUUGAGUGGGGACACAGCCAGACCAUAUCAGACAAGAAUCAUCUUCUCAAAUUUGGGGUGCGUGGCUGAGUGCACACACCUGUGAAAACUGCGGGAUGAAUGCAUUACAACUUCCUGGAACAAGUCAUUUUACCUAAGUAAUUGGAAGGGGAAAGCCAACUGAUCUGCUUAUCUGUCCUGAAAGGCAGAGCUACGAAGCCAUGGCAGCAGGUGCUCCUUCAUCUUCAAGGCCAGCAGCAUAGCUUCCAUCUUGCAAUUUCUUUUUCUGUCUGACUCUGAUCCUCCUGCCUCCGUUUUAUAAAGAGGACCUUUGUAAUUAUGUUGAGCCCACUUGGGCAAUCCAGGAUUGUGCUAUUGAGAAAUAACUAUUUAGCCUUUAGCCUGUUUCCUGGCAUAAAACUCCUGAAAUCUUACAAUUUCUAAAGUGAUGUCUGUGAACCCAAAAUAUCGGAGACAAGUCUCAGUCAAUUUAGAAAGUUUAUUUUGCCAAGGCUAAGGACACACCUGUGACACAGCCUCAGGAGGUCCUGACAUGUGCCCAAGGUGGUCGGGGCACAGCUAGGUUUUAUAUGUUUUUGGGAGACAUGAGACAUCAGCCAGUAUGUGUGAGAUGUACGUUGGUUUGGUCCAGAAAGGUGGGACAACUCGAAGCAAGGGCCCUGCCUUUCAGGUCAUAGGUAGAUAAGAGACAAACAGUUGCAUUCCUUCAAGUCUCUGAUGAGCCUUUCACUGAACACACAGUUUACAUGUGACAGGAGGGUAGAGGAGUAGUCACUUAUGCCUUGGUCUGGCUUAGUGAAAUAGGGCAAAGGGAGCAAUCAGGUAUGCAUUUAUCUCAUGAGUUCUGUGUGUCCUCUGUCCAAAAAGAAUUUUCUUUUGGGCAUAUUGUGAGGGAGGUACGUGGUUAGUAAUAAAAUGGGAAACAGGUUUGCCUGAAGCAGUUCCCGAAGUGCUGGGAUUACAGGUGUGAGGCACCAUGCCCUUUUCUUUUACAUGUCUUUUGUAUGCUAAUGAGAUGGCUGGUGGCUGGCAGCCCCUGGGUAGCUUCAGGAUAGGGUUGGUCACCAGGAAGACCAAGGCAGGACUAGACAGUUGGGACAUUGAGCUCCACCCUUCAACCUCUGGGGAGGGGAGAAAGACUAAAGGUUAAGUUGAUCACCAAGGGCCAGUAGUUUAAUCUUGCCUGUGUAAUGAAGCCACCAUAAAAACUCAGAAGGACAGGGUUUGAAGAGCUUCUGGAUAGCUGAACACAUGGAGGUUCCUGGAGGGUUCCCAAGGAAGGCAUGGAAGCUCCACACCACCUCACACAUACCUUGUAUUUCUACACAUUUCUUUCUCUGUAUUCUUCGGAAUAGCCUUCAUAAUCAACCAGUAAAUGUCAGUAUUUGCCUG
rnacentral:lncRNA from 10 species